GAAUAUUUUUAGAAGCACCAAUUCCUUAGUGCUUCUAAGUUUCUAGCUCUUGGAUCCAUUCCUUGAUUACUAAUAGCCUUUAGAUCAAACACUAUUCCACUUACCACAACCUACCAUCAUCAUCUCAACCAUACAUCUCUCCAUCCAAGGGCUAAAAACUCAAAAGUAUUAACACAUUGGUGCUUUUGGAAGUAUUCUAGCUCAACUCUCUCUCUCUCUCUAUAUAUAUAUAUAGGCCGGAGCUACUAUAUUUAUAUGAUAUAGAGACUUUUGUACUCAUAACUUUUCGGCCGUUCGGAUGCAAAAAUAUGCGGUUAGUAUAGGAGUGGUUGUGACUAGGUUGAUAGUGGGUCCCCUAGGGUCGAGUGGGUGGUUGGUUGAAUAGUAUAAUCUAACGGGUGAAAAUGAUUAAAGGGUGGAUCAAACGGCAAAAAACUUAUGAGUAUAAGAGGCUCUAUACUCAUAAGAAUAUAGUAGCCGGACUCAUAUAUAUAUAUAAAACUUUGGCUGUGUUUUAAGGAGAAAACAAAGCUCAUUUUAACCUUUAAUUUUGAUUGAUUGAGUACUUGAUCUUGUGUUGGCUACUAAUUGGCUACUUAAGUGUUUAUUUGAAAUUUAAAUGUUCCAUUUCUUUUGUUUAGAUCUUUUUCUACAUAAAAUAUAUAUAUAUAUAUAUAUAUAUAUAUAUAUAUAUAGUAAGUCUUCUGUACUUUCGAAAGUAUAGAGACCUCCGUGCUUGUAAGUUGUUUUUAAUGAUACGACAUUUGAUUCGAUGAUCGGAUCCGUUAAGUAUAAUCUACCCUAUUGGAACUAUCUAGAAACCAAAUUUUAUAAUUUUUUGACAUCAUUUACCAAGCGAUCAAAGGUCUCAAAAAUGACUAUUUUAAUGGCCGAUAUGGCACAUUUUUAUGUUCAACAGUGUAGAAGUAUCUAAAUUACAUAAAAAUUUAAUAGAAAAUUUUUCUUAACAUCAGUAGCAAGAUCAAUACUUCCGAUUUAAAAUUUGAGUCCUUUAUCACUAUUUUUUAUGAGAUUUUUAUUUUCAGCCGUUCAUUUUGAGACUACUCGUUCACUAGACAAACGAAGUCAAAAAAUUAUGAAAUUUGGUUUCUAAAUAGUUCCACUAGCUUUGAUCAAGUUUAACGGAACCGAUCGCUAAAUUGGAUGUCCCAUCAUCGAAAACAACUUACAAGUACGGAGGUCUCCGUAUUUUCGAAAGCAUAGGAGCCUAGCUCUCUCUCUCUCUCUCUCUCUCUCUCUCUCUCUCUCUAUAUACAU
rnacentral:lncRNA from 1 species